rnacentral:lncRNA from 1 species
UUCAGCUUCGUGUAGUUUGGUUGAUCUUUUCAUCCUGAACCAAAUGUCGCGGUCAGAGGAUUCAGAAAUAAGAUUGCUAAGGAAUGUGUCAUUGGCCCACCCUCACUGCAGAGAUCGCUGGAGUUGGUCCUGUCUGAACCCCGUGGAAUGAUUUUCCCUUGAGAGACAGAGCAGCCUUCUGUUGCUGAAAGAAGGAGCUAUUACCUUAUCAGGAGCCAUUAAGAUGUCGAUACACCUGCAUUAACCUUGUUUUGACUCUUUCAAAUAAGGAAGUUGAAGAUUUUAGUUUACCAUUUUACAGGAGCAGUUGUUCCAGAAGAAGACAAGAUAUCUAGUACGUUUUCACGGAAAGAAAUGCCUGAUGAAGUAAAAAGACAGAUACUCAAGAUGGAGAUGUACAUACAACUGUAAAGCUAUGAUGCUGGAUAGAUUGCCCAAAUCGAUGUCUGAAGUCACUCAGAAUGGUGGCAGAACUUGAGUCUCGAACAAAGUAACAGAGGCCAACAUGUUUUCGGGGUGUGAGGAUGACAAAGAUGGUAAGGGGUUAGAGGCUAAUAUGCUUGAGUGCCUUUGAAUCUCAAAAGAAUAGGUUUUUUUGUGUGUGUGCUUUUUUCUUAUUUAAGGUAGAAGUAUAAAGGUCUAGAAUAGGCAAGAGAAAUUGAGGAGAAUGCUGACCAACUCUCAGCCAAAAGAUGCACGUCAAAUGGGAAAGUGGGCGGUCUCAAGUGACUUCAGAAGGUAUAGUUCCAGAAAGGAGAGAAAUAAAUCGCAUUUUACUGAAUUCUAAGAAAGUAAACAGAAAAUUAUUUCAAUAAGUCGAGGGAGGAGGUGGAGGGGUUGCGGGUAUCACAUACCUUAAAAACUGUGAAUCAGGAACAAUGACAUGAUUAUGUAGGUAGAACUUCAUAGAGGCU